rnacentral:piRNA from 1 species
UAUGACCACGCCAAUUCUCUUGGA